GGUCCGAUAGCUCAGCCUGGAUAGAGCAUCCGCCUUCUAAGCGGACGGUCGCAGGUUCAAAUCCUGCUCGGAUCG
rnacentral:tRNA from 1 species